GAAAACCAUUGCUGAUUACCAUUUACUGGUCCCUCUCUCCUCUCUCUCUUGCUGCAAAAGAGUACUUGCAAAACCCCUCAGUUUCUCUGAAGAAUCACUAUUCUAGAUCACAAAAAGGUAAUCCUAUCAAUCAUCCAUGCUAUUCACAUCGUGCAUUAGAAAUUCUUUUUCAGGCUUUUUAUUUUAUUACUAUCAUUUUUUAUAUGGGCAUCAUUCUCUAUUGCUGUUCUUCAUAUAUCUGAAACUUUACUGAACUUCACUGAACCUCAGGACCUUUUUCUGAGUUCUCGGAGAUAAAUGAAAAAUUUUAGAUUUGGGUAUUGCAAUUCGAUGUAAAGGGUUUCCGAAUUGUAUGGUUUUGACGGGUUUUUUAUGAGCUGUGGUGUUUGGACAUUUGUGAGCUGAUUAUGUGCUAAAACUUUAAUUUUUGAGAGGUUUUUAUGACUUCAUGUUUAGAUUGGUACAAAUUCCAUUCGGGUUUUCAGGAUUUUUUUUUUAGGGUUUGGAAGUUUUGGUGUGGAAGAUGAAUAAUAACAAUCCGGGUAGUGGGUUUUUAUCCGGUUAUACAGGAGGGUUUUUGGGGAUGAAUAGGAAUCAACAAAAUCCUGGUGGGCUUUUGGGGAUGAGUAGAAGCCAUCAACAAAACUUAAGUAGCAGUAAUCCAGCUCGUCUGCAAAAUGACCAAGUUCCAUCUCCGAUGAAUAUGAUAUCAGUGGCUGAAAAGGAUUCCAGGAUUGGGCUAAGGGAGGUCAAAGACUCAGCACCAAGAGGUUUUGCUAUGACUUUUGCAAGAGAGAGGGUUGCGGGACCUAGGAAUGUUAUGAGUAAUGGUGCUGUUAACAUCAAUGAGAUCUCAAGUGAUGAGGAUGACCCAAGUAUGGCAGAGGGCAAUGGUAGGGAUACUGGUGGAGGAAAGGGCAAAAAGGAUGCUCCUUGGGUGAGAAUGAAGUGGACGGACAAUAUAGUUAGACUUUUGAUUCAAGUUGUUGCAAAUGUUGGAGAAGAUGGUCCUUCAGAGGGUGCUGAGGGAGCGAGGCGAAAAUCUGGUAUCAUAAAGAAGGGAAAAUGGAGAACGGUCUCAAAGGUAUUGAUGUCUAAGGGUCUUUGUGUUUCACCUCAGCAGUGUGAGGAUAAGUUCAAUGAUUUGAACAAGAGGUACAAGAAGUUGAACGACAUUCUUGGAAGGGGUACUUCAUGUAGAGUUGUGGAGAAUCCAGCUCUAUUAAACAACAUGGAACAUCUCUCUGACAAAGCAAAGGAAGAUGUGAGGAAGUUAUUGGGCUCAAAGCAUUUGUUCUAUAAGGAAAUGUGUGCUUACCAUAAUGGCCAAAAGAUUACCGAUUGCAAUGAUUUUGAGUUACCAGUUCAUGCUGCAUCUGUAGCAGAACAAAUUUGGGAACAUUGUGAUGGUUCACCUGUUGUAGGAGAAGGCACCAAAGACAAGGAUGGUUCACCUGUUGCAGGAGAAGGCACGACAGACAAGGAUGGUUCACCUGUGGCCGCACAAAGUUCAAAAGACAAUGACAUCUCUGAGGGCGAUGAUGCUGAUGAAAAUGAUGAAAGUGACCAUUACAUGUCUGAAGAUGAAGCUGCAGAUAACAACAAUUCUGGGAGUGUGGAUAGGGUUGAAACAAGUGAAAAUAGGGAAGUGUGGAAGGAUUAUGGAAAUACUAGGUCUCGAUCUGGGGCCGGUGAUGAUUUUCAGGCAGAAAUCGCUGAAAUGUUUAGUGACCCUACAAAGUCUCAAUGGGAGCGGAGAGAGUGGAUCAGGAAGCGUAUGCUUCAACUUCAUGAGGAAAGAAUUGGCAUACAAGCUGAAGCUUUUGAGUUAGAAAAGCAAAGAUUGAAAUGGCAGAGAUUCUGCAACAAGAAAGAGUUGGAACUGGAGACAGCUAGGCUGGAAAAGGAGAGGUUGAUAAUAGAGAAUGAGCGCAAGGCAUUGCAACUGAAGCAGAAAGAAGUGGAGGUGGAAUUUCGGAGGCCGGAAUCAACAUUUAACCUGACUUCUUUUAGUAUAGACAUAAUGGGGGGAAGAGAGCAGAUUGAUUCAGGAAGGCAACACUAGAGGACUUGUAACUUCUUUCGAUGUUUAUGACUUUCAUCUCCUCUUUUGUAGAAUUGAAGAUUGUACUUCCGAUCCAUUUGCAUUACUUUGUGGUCUCACUUCUCUUCGAAUUCCCAUACCAUCGUAUUCUAGCCAAGGAUCGUUUUGAUAUUCAACAGCAUGGUACGAAGCAAUAUUAACCAGAUGUAUUUACUGAUUGGUCGUUUUACUUGACAAUAGGAUGAAAGGAGUGUUAGUUAGUGCUAAACAUUUAAUGAAGUAGCAAAUAAUGCAAGUAUCAAAUUUGAUGUUUGCCAAACAUAAUGUACAGACCAAGUAAGAAGAAGCAGAGAUGACAACUUUUUCUGGACUAGCAUUGAAGUGACUUUUCAUGAUUUACUACCUUUUUCUUUUUCACAUUCUAAUGGACUUUUGAUUGGGUGGAGCUUCAUUUAGUUUUCCAUUUUUUUUAUAAUCAUUUUGUAAUGUCUCUUUGCGCAGGAUAAGGGUCAAUUAAAAGUUUUGGUAUGGAUUAAACUCAACAAAGUGCCCAUCUUGCGCUUUUGGAUAUUCUCACACAAUGUAAUAUAACUGUUCAACUUCAACUUUCUUAUAUAAUGGGAAAAGACAUGAAAUGGCAAUGGAAUACAAUAGUUAAGCUCA